rnacentral:rRNA from 1 species
AUUGAACGCUGGCGGCAGGCCUAACACAUGCAAGUCGAGCGGAGCGGCGGACGGGUGAGGAAGGGCUAGGAAUCAGCAUGGUAGUGGGGGAGAAAGUACGGAAACGGGCGCUACUGCCGACUACUCUCAGAUGACACUAGGUCGGAUUAGCAUGUUGGUGGGGUAACGGCCUACCAAGUCGACGAUCCGUAAAUGGUCGGAGGGGAUGAGCAGUCACACUGGAACUGAGACACGGUCCAGACUCCGACGGGAGGCAGCAGUGGUGAAUAUUGGACAAUGGUCGAAAGCCUGAUCCAGCCAUGCCGCGUGUGUGAAGAAGGUCUUCGGAUUGUAAAGCACUGUAAGUUGGGAGGCGUUACCAACAGAAUAAGCACCGGCUAACUUCGUGCCAGCAGCCGCGGUAAUAC